AGGUUCCGAGCGAGUGGGAUUGUUCACGCGACGCCCUCUCCGCCAACCUAGCAGAGCUGAGGGUUGCCGUGUGGCACGCGAACACAACAUCGAUGAUGGGGAACGUGUUCAUGGGCGAGAUCAAGCUGAGACUGAGUAACUUCGGCGACGACCUUUGCAAAGGUCACGACUCCUGGUAUCUACUGCAGCCCAGGAAG